AUACGUAGGGGGCGAGCGUUGUCCGGAAUGAUUGGGCGUAAAGGGCGCGUAGGCGGCGCGGUAAGUCUGGAGUGAAAGUCCUGCUUUCAAGGUGGGAAUUGCUUUGGAUACUGCCGCGCUUGAGUGCAGGAGAGGUUAUCGGAAUUCCCGGUGUAGCGGUGAAAUGCGUAGAGAUCGGGAGGAACACCAGUGGCGAAGGCGAGUAACUGGACUGCAACUGACGCUGAGGCGCAAAAGUGUGGGGAGCAAACAGGAUUAGAUACCCUGGUAGUCCACACUGUAAACGAUGAAUGCUAGGUGUAAGAGGUAUCGACCCCUUUUGUGCCGGAGUCAACACAAUAAGCAUUCCGCCUGGGGAGUACGGCCGCAAGGUUGAAACUCAAAGGAAUUGACGGGG
rnacentral:rRNA from 1 species